GGCGGGGUUGAACAAUGCUGAUCUGCGCUCAUAACCCAGAGGUCGCAGGUUAAAAUCCUGCCCCCGCUACCA
rnacentral:tRNA from 1 species